GACGAACGCUGGCGGCGUGCUUAACACAUGCAAGUCGAACGGUGAAGCGCCUUCCUUUUUGGUGGGUGUGGAUGAGUGGCGAACGGGUGAGUAACACGUGAGUAACCUGCCCCCUUCUUCUGGAUAACCGCAUGAAAGUGUGGCUAAUACGGGAUAUUCUGGGUCUGUCGCAUGAUGGGUCUGGGAAAGAUAUUGUUUCGGUGGGGGAUGGGCUCGCGGCCUAUCAGCUUGUUGGUGGGGGGAUGGCCUACCAAGGCGGUGACGGGUAGCCGGCCUGAGAGGGUGGACGGUCACACUGGGACUGAGACGCGGCCCAGACUCCUACGGGGGGCAGCAGUGGGGAAUAUUGCACAGUGGGCGCCAGCCUGAUGCAGCGACGCCGCGUGAGGGAUGGAGGCCUUCGGGUUGUGAACCUCUUUCGCCAGUGAAGCAGGCCUGCCUCGUUUGUGGGUGGGUUGACGGUAGCUGGAUAAGAAGCGCCGGCUAACUACGUG
rnacentral:rRNA from 1 species